GAUGAACGCUGGCGGCGUGCCUAAUACAUGCAAGUCGAGCGAACAGACGAGGAGCUUGCUCCUCUGACGUUAGCGGCGGACGGGUGAGUAACACGUGGAUAAACUACCUAUAAGACUGGGAUAACUUCGGGAAACCGGAGCUAAUACCGGAUAAUAUAUUGAACCGCAUGGUUCAAUAGUGAAAGACGGUUUUGCUGUCACUUAUAGAUGGAUCCGCGCCGCAUUAGCUAGUUGGUAAGGUAACGGCUUACCAAGGCGACGAUGCGUAGCCGACCUGAGAGGGUGAUCGGCCACACUGGAACUGAGACACGGUCCAGACUCCUACGGGAGGCAGCAGUAGGAAAUCUUCCGCAAUGGGCGAAAGCCUGACGGAGCAACGCCGCGUGAGUGAUGAAGGUCUUCGGAUCGUAAAACUCUGUUAUUAGGGAAGAACAAAUGUGUAAGUAACUAUGCACGUCUUGACGGUACCUAAUCAGAAAGCCACGGCUAACUACGUG
rnacentral:rRNA from 1 species